GGGGGUGAAUUGGAUUCGACGGAAGGCUGUGCACCGUCCUUUGACAUGCCGAGGUGGCACCUCGUAAAUCAGCUACUCAAAAUAAACGACGCUUACGCGUUGCCUCUGGCAGCUUAAGUCUGCCACGUCUUUCAUUCCUUCUCCUGCGGGGGGUGAAAGGCGACACUUAGCAGGAUAGUCCUUACCCGGCGCCUCAACAGAUAAGGGCGAACCCAAUUGAGGCUACUCUAUUGAAAAUCCUGCCGUUGGGAGUUUUGAUAGGGAAAAUUUAAAACACACGGCAAAGCAUGAACACAGAGGCGGGAAUCCCUUUCGGACGGGGGUUCGACACCCCCCACCUCCACAA
rnacentral:tmRNA from 3 species